rnacentral:lncRNA from 1 species
CAGCAUUUCAAGGACUGGACGUGAGGGGGAUCCCACACCAAGACGAAUGAGAAUUCCCUUCCCUUCUGAGUUGACCACAACUGAGUAAGCUAGGUCCCUGACAUUUCUAGUUAACAAAACUAAAUGGGAGACUCUCUCUCAGGAGGAUCCUGCACCAAGACGAAUGAGAAUUUCCCUUCCCUUCUGAGGUGACCACAACUGAGUAAGCUAGGUCUCUGACACUUCUAGUUAAGAAAGCUUAGAGACCCUCUCAGUUCACAAAACAUUUCGGCAAGUAAUAAAGACUAGCCUGAUGAGUAUAAAAUCAAAUCAUCUUAGGAACUGGCUGCUUUUAACAGGGCACAUGAUUUACAUUCUUGUUUCUUUUUUUAACUGCAGAAGUGUUUCACAUGUAGCCUGACCUAUUGUACCAGAAAGAAGCCAAUCCAUUUAGGACUGUAAAAAUCAGGAAAUACUUAGAACAGCACUUGAAUGUCAAGUUAUUCUAUCAACACAGACAAAAGGCUUUUUCUCCCAAAGUACCCCAAGACAAGGCCAAUACUAACCAGACGCCAAAAUAAGACCAAUAAUUACCCACAAUAAUCAUUUUCUCCGGCAUGCGGACCAGUCGAUAUCCCCAAGGUCAAAUAUGAGCAAACUGUGCCAUAGGUAUGAAAUGCACGCUUUGUUCGAGGUUGUACGGGGCACUGACCGGAACUUUACACUCCAGGAUCGUUUCGAAAAAUGCUUAUUCAAUCCACAGUUUAAGUUAUGCAAUAAUUCGCUUAAAAGUAUGUGUUCAACGGACAAGAGAAGUUGAAGGUAAGAAUUUAAUACUAAAGGAAGUAGGUUUGGGAAAGAUCAAAU